UACGAAGGGUGCAAGCGUUGCCCGGAAUCAUUGGGCGUAAAGCGCACGUAGGCGGUCUGUUAUGUCGGAUGUGAAAGCCCUCGGCUCAACUGAGGAAGUGCAUCCGAAACUGGCAGGCUAGAGUACUAAAGAGGGUCGCGGAAUUCCCGGUGUAGAGGUGAAAUUCGUAGAUAUCGGGAGGAACACCGGUGGCGAAGGCGGCGACCUGGGUAGAUACUGACGCUGAGGUGCGAAAGCGUGGGGAGCAAACAGG
rnacentral:rRNA from 1 species